rnacentral:rRNA from 1 species
GAUGAACGCUGACAGAAUGCUUAACACAUGCAAGUCUACUUGAAUUUGGGUUUUUUAACUUAGAUUUGGGUGGCGGACGGGUGAGUAACGCGUAAAGAACUUGCCUCACAGCUAGGGACAACAUUUGGAAACGAAUGCUAAUACCUGAUAUUAUGAUUAUAAGGCAUCUUAGAAUUAUGAAAGCUAUAUGCGCUGUGAGAGAGCUUUGCGUCCCACUAGCUAGUUGGAGAGGUAACGGCUCACCAAGGCGAUGAUGGGUAGCCGGCCUGAGAGGGUGAACGGCCACAAGGGGACUGAGACACGGCCCUUACUCCUACGGGAGGCAGCAGUGGGGAAUAUUGGACAAUGGACCAAGAGUCUGAUCCAGCAAUUCUGUGUGCACGAUGACGUUUUUCGGAAUGUAAAGUGCUUUCAGUUGGGAAGAAAAAAAUGACGGUACCAACAGAAGAAGAGACGGCUAAAUACGUG